CGACCCCCAAAAUAAUGGUGCCUGUGACUUGCGACCCCCUCUUUCCCCGGAGGUGGUAAAGAAAAUCAGAAGGGUUUUAUUCGAAAUGUCCAGUGACUGUCCAGCCAUCAUAAGUCUGGUCUGCGUAGCCCGAGUUCUCAAUGAGCCCAUCGCCGUCCUUGUCAAACUUCAUCUCAGACUCCAUCACUGCCUGCAUACCCAAUCAAAACAGCAAAACUUUGUCUUUCCCUGGACCCCCAGGGACCAGACGCCUCUAUUCCUAGUGGCUUACACUGGCACUGUGGCAGUCACCAAGAAGUUUAGCAUAUGGGCAGUAAGAAAGUAAAGUAA